AUCUAUAGGAUUGUAUUAAAAUUGAAUAAAGCUUUGUUUAUAUAUUGAUAAUGACAGUAUAUAUAUCGUGUCUUGACUAAUUGCGUGCCAGCAGUCGCGGUAAUACGUAAGAGACUAGUGUUAUUCAUCUUAAUUAGGUUUAAAGGGUACCUAGACGGUCAAUAUAGCUUCUAAAAUGUUAGUACUUGACUAGAGUUUUAUGUAAGAGGGCAGUACUUGAGGAGGAGAGAUGAAAUUCUAUGAUACCAAAGGGACUCGGUAAAGGCGAAGGCAGCCCUCUAUGUGAAAACUGACGUUAAAGGACGAAGGCACAGAGCACAAACAGGAUUAGAUACCCAAGUAGUCUUUGCAGUAAAUGAUGAAUGCCAUAGGUUAGAUUAAGAUUUAAUAUUAUAAUUUAAAAUUAAAUAUUAAACAUUAAUUUAGUCUAUAAAUGAAAGUGUAAGCAUUUCACCUCAA
rnacentral:rRNA from 1 species